CCUGGGAACUGCGUUNUGAACUGGGUGACUAGAGUGUGUCAGAGGGAGGUAGAAUNCCACGUGUAGCAGUGAAAUGCGUAGAGAUGUGGAGGAAUACCGAUGGCGAAGGCAGCNUCCUGGGAUAACACUGACGUUCAUGCCCGAAAGCGUGGGUAGCAAACAGGAUUAGAUACCCUGGUAGUCCACGCCCUAAACGAUGUCGAUUAGCUGUUGGGCAGCAUGACUGCUUAGUAGCGAAGCUAACGCGUGAAUCGACCGCCUGGGGAGUACGGUCGCAAGAUUAAAACUCAAAGGAAUUGACGGGGACCCGCACAAGCGGUGGAUGAUGUGGAUUAAUUCGAUGCAACGCGAAGAACCUUACCUGGUCUUGACAUGUGCGGAACCCUCCAGAGACGGAGGGGUGCCUUCGGGAGCCGUAACACAGGUGCUGCAUAGCUGUCGUCAGCUCGUGUCGUGAGAUGUUGGGUUAAGUCCCGCAACGAGCGCAACCCUUGUCAUUAGUUGCCAUCAUUAAGUUGGUCACUCUAAUGAGACUGCCGGUGACAAGCCGGAGGAAGGUGGGGAUGACGUCAAGUCCUCAUGGCCCUUAUGACCAGGGCUUCACACGUCAUACAAUGGUCGGUACAGAGGGUAGCCAAGCCGCGAGGUGGAGCCAAUCUCACAAAACCGAUCGUAGUCCGGAUUGCACUCUGCAACU
rnacentral:rRNA from 1 species